UGUUGAUAUGGAAACACUCAUUUGAAUAAGCACUGCACACACCACAACAAAUAAGAAGGGUUUUGUGCCUCUCUCUGACUAAAUAUUCCAACUGACCAUAUUCAUUCAGAGUUCCUUUUUGUCCCCACAUACAAAGCCUUUGAAACUGGAGAUAACACUAGGUCAGUAAACAUCUCCCAUAUAUUAUUCAUUUUGUUUAUGCUGUGCAUCAGCUCAGCAAUAAAAGGUCCUGGAUAAAAACAGAUUUUCUUUAACUGUUCCCUUUAUUUUUCAUCUUGAGCAUUAAAAAUGUCCUCGUGCUUCACCCAUUCAGAGCUGCCAAGGACAUUUCAACAAAGCAUGACCAGAGGACUUCUCAUAGGACAAGGAACAGAAGUAGUACCAGUUCUGGGAACAGCACACCAUCCCCAGCUUCCUACAGCAAUGAAGGGGCUCAGAAUGGCUCUGCCCUGACUUUUCUAAAUAGCUUUCAUUCACAGGUAACUGCCCUCUCAGUUGAAAUACAAAUAAGUAUUUUCAAAUGAUUAAGACUAGAGGAAUCAAAAGAUAACUGACAAAGCUAUAUCUCAGCACCAUGAAAACAAAUUGCAAAGUGUUGCAAAGAUGAAGAAAACCUUGUUCUCCUCAACAGCCUGCUUUAGUGGAGAUACGAUACUCCAUGAGUGAGUAAGUGGGGACUGAGGAGAUAAGAGAGUUGUGCCCUGCUUCCCACACAGCAGCAAGCUAAGUGCCUUGCCUCUUCCUCCUCGCAACAAGAUUGUGAGCCCUUGACCCGGAUGCAGGCACCACGUAGUUUGAAAAGUCUCAAAAGGGAUAAACCAAGUGAAAAUUGAAGGUAGGCUGCCAAGUGAGAACUCAUCCCAAGCACAGUUUAAGAAAUACUAAACAUAAGCAAAGCCACUAUUUCCAUGCAUUAAUCAUGUGGGGACGCCUUUAUAAACAUUCUCCUGAAGCUCAGACACUGCAGCUCCGGGACCACGUGUGGGAACAUAGUUGGAAUCUGGCUAGAAAGCUGAAAACUGCACUGAAAAUUUUGUCUGUAAGCGCACUGAAAACCCGAGAGAGGGAAAAGGAGUACCAGUAAAAUCUCACAGGGCAAGCAGACAUUGUUAGCUGUGCCAGGAGAGAAACAGUGCAACUGAACAUAUGGGCACUAAAACCAGGGCCAGAACAGAACGGAUUUAACAUUCUUGUAGUGGCUGCCAAAGGUGCCACUAGGCUGAUAUGGAUACCUGCUCUCACUGCUGCACAAGUGUGACUGACACAGCAAAGGAUAACACAGAUCUGAGCAAGGAGCUUCCCCAAAGCUGUAUGGAUCUCUUUGUGUGCACAGCAUGCAGCAGCAGCAGGACUGCUUCUCACCAGGGUGGGUCAUCCAGAUGGCUGCAGGCUGGGUAGGCUUUAAUCUGCAAUGAAGAAUUGCCAGUAUGGCAUAAUUACACUGGCAACCCUUGUAAGUGCAGGCAGAGCUCUAAUAAACUCAGACAGGAGUGUGGAAUGCCACCAGCUGCAAAGAGGAGGCAGUCAGUUUGGGAUGCCUCUGUGCAGGCCCUCACCUGAUGCUGCUGGCAGGAUUCAGCUGUCAUAGCCACACAGCUCCUUUCUUUGACAAAAGGCUGCUUUGCAGGCUGGCAGGAGUUCAGACAACACCAAUUAAAACUAGGAAAUGGCUGAGAGACAUAAACAUAUUGGAAAGGCUUAUUUGCAUUGAGUACAUAAGAUGUGUAACUUGGCUAGCAUGCAUGUAAGACAGCAGAAGCAUCAAUAUAAACAUGAUGCUUUCAAACCACAGUUGCUUUAAUAAUCUAAGGCACAAAGACAAUCAUUUUAAAUUUAUUAUUUAUUAUCUAACCCUAAUUUUCAAGGUGUACUCUCAGCACUCCUGUCCUUUUUCUGCACAAGGUGUACAAACUCCUCCACCUCCUGGAUCUGGAACAGUCAGGCUCACAGCUGCAGCAAGAUGCCAGUAUCCAAUCAGACUAGCACAAGCAGUUAGAAUAUACACGUGUACAUCCCCCCUUGCCUUCCCCCAGUUGGGUGAUCCACCAGAAGCACCUGCUUUAACUAGACUCUGUUGCAGACCAGAUCAAAGCAAUUGGAAUACAGAAAAGAAAUUGUCUGUAAGUCCUGCUGCCUCUGCCCACCUAUCUAGCUGAAAAUGACCAACUGCAGCCAACACCUCAUAAAAUAAGACAAGUGAAGGCAAAUCACUUCUCCACACUGCUACUUCAAGAAGUGUUUUGCCAAUACAAAUACAAUGAAAUGGAAUACACCUCAUCUUUCUUAUUUAUCCUUAUAAAUGGCCAAAAUAUCAAGCAAUCCUGAAAAAAGCACCAUGAUAAAGUAGCAAAAUCAAAAUUCAUUGUCCUCUAUUGAAGCUAUUUAUCGUCAGAGCAGUCUGAGUCAGGGACACGGCAACUGCUGAAAGACACUCAGGGUGCUGAACCAGUCUCUUUUGCAAUCUAAAUGAAUGCAACGAAUGAACCAUCACUCUCAUAGCAGAGAGGAGACAGUUCAUGCAAAUUAUCUAACUUCAGUUUUCAUUAAUAAUACACUGCUAAUCACACAGAGCUGUCUAAGUGCUUAGUACUACCGACAGAUUUAGUUUAGACUUUUGUUUAGCUACAGGACAAGCUUUCCAUACAUGCUGGAGGAGGAAAGGGAAGACUUCUUUUGGAGUUCCCUUCUUUUUUCCAGUUAUUAGAUCUGCAACACAGCAUGCUUACCAAGUGGAACAAAAAAGGGAAUAAAAGCCUACUUUCUCUUCUCUUCUGCCCCCAAAAGCCUCCCAGUAGUGAUCAUUAAAUAUCCUGUUGUUGUAGCUUUUAUCCUACAAGUUCAGCUGGAGACCUGAUUGGCAAAAGGUUUAUUGUACCUUGGUGAUCAUCAGUAGAUGCCUUGAAAUAACAGUCUAAGAUGAAUUCAAGAUUGAAUGUGUGUAUGGUAACUGCUGAGUCACAGUCUGAACUACUGAUUGAGCAGCUGGGGAAAGGACCAAGUCAGCCCUGGGAGCACAGGUGAAGGCAGUUCACCAGUUCACCUGUGUGACCAGAAGGGGUGGAGCCUGGCUGCAACUCUCUUAGACUUCAUUUAAGGACUGACUGUCACUGUGGAAUGAUCUCUGGUCAGAGAUCCCUCCCUUGUGGAGUUUCCUCUGCAAGCCUAGAUCUUCACAGACAGGUGAGCACUUUUACUUUGUAACACCUUUCCAUCAUGCUAGUCUCUUUGUCAUUACUCCUUCUGCAUCACCAUCCUAUUGUGUUGAUCUUUCUGGUUAUUACAAUGUGCCUCAGAAAAAGUGUCUACACUUCUGCCCUACCAGAAGGGAUAACUGUCUGUGAAUGCCAUCAUACAAGAUGUUCAAUGCAGGCGGCCAUAAGAAGGGAGCUGAGUGGUCUGCUUAAGUUUAAAAUGAAUUAAAGUGGACAACACUGUGCUUUAUCAGAAGAGUUACUUUCCCAUUGUAUGGCAUCUCACCAUUUUCCCAGGUUUUACCUGUACAAAAAAACAAAGAACCCAAGACAGAGAAGCAGAAAAAUCCAAAGACAUCAGGACACAGUGAGCAAGGGUUUUCAGGCAUGGUGCAAAGCAGCUUCAUUUGACACCAGCCCACAUACUAACAACACAGCAGGGACAGCACAGUUCUGAUGUCCGCACACAACACUGCCAGACCAUUCCUGACUCUGCACUACAGAAACACAGGUUCUAUUAAUACUCCUUUCCCUAGGCCACAAGCUGUAACUGCCAGUAUUAUGCAGUGGAGUUCAGUGCACGCCAUGUUCUGUCUGUCACAGACAUGUGCAAGCUGAAUCAAUAUGAUCAAUGUAACUUCUGCAACAAAUCAUCCAGUAGUUAAAGAUUUCUGUAAACUCUACAUUUUGCUAACUAGUCCUUUCUUUUCUUGUUUCAGCUUUGAUAUUGUUUGCUUUUUGCAAAUCAAAUGGGGAAAAAAUGUGCCAUGAUAUUUAAAAUGUUGUCUUUCACCUACACCAUGUAUUAAACUCUCCUUUCGGACCAGGAGGCCUGCAGAAAGCUGCAUUAGAUAGAAUACAUAGGAUAGAAGCCUUAAGAAAAGUUCAGCAGUAGCACAACUGAGCUGAUGCUGCUGAUUCCAAAGCUAACAGCAAGGCUACUGAUGAAUUCUUUGAGGGGAAAAAACGGCUGUAAGUAAAGCCUGUGUCUGCUCCUUCAGUGCCUUUCAGGCAAGGAGCUCCUUUCCUCUCCUCUCUAGCUAAUGGCUCUUUACCCUGGCACUUAGGGAAUAGGCAGCACUUGCUGAUCUUCUGGGAAGAGCCCAAGCAUCCUUUCCUGACUGCAUCCUUUUCCGAGGCAGAUUCUAAGUUCAUUUUCUUUGCCUCAGAUAACAACUUAAUGGUUACCCCGUAAGAAGAUUAACUCUUGAAAGUGUAUUAAGACAGUGAAGACUAUGAGAGAAGCAAAACAAAAGCAAGAUCAAAGUAAAUCCAAAGUAAGCAUACAACCAUCCCUUCCCUAAGGGCAGAAGAACCAACCUCACAAAGCUUACUGCAGAGCUCGCAGAGGACUCACCCACCAUCUUCUCUCAAUCUGGAAGGUCCCUGCUGAAGACAAAUGACCUGUUGGUGGCAUGGCAACUGCAGACUGCCAAGAGAGAUCUGCACCAGGUUUGGCUCCAGAGAGAAGAUUUUCUUUGCAAACACAUUGCAAAGAAAUAUCAGGAUCAUACAACAGAAGACACCAGUUUUCCACUCAGACUUUACAACAUCCUGGGAAAUACAGCAGGUGGGUACCCAGGAUCAGCCUGCUUUUCCAACAGCAUGUGAUGGAACUGCUGCUGAGUGGAGACACAGCUUCUCAAGAUGCACAAAGUUAAAGAUCCCUGGAGUUGAAGACUGAAAUUGGGUAAAAAGAUACUCCUAGUUAUGUUGCUCUGUCGCUUUAUGGAAGAGCUCCACUUCCAGAAGAAUACAACCUGGCUUUAUUCGAAGGACUGGAGUUUUUUCCUCAGCUGAUCUCUGGUACAACUAUUCCUUCCUCAAUACCCAUCUCCUAACCAAACACAUCACUAAGCGAAGUCCGAAUCUGAAGCUUACCUGAUCUUUCUCAGGCUUGUCAGAGAUGUCAUUCAGACUGGUGGAAGUCAGAUUUCUGUGAGUCAUGGCUGGACUGCCUGUAAGAACAAUGCCAAUACCAAUUAAAGCACCUAUUUAAAUCCAGUCAGAAGAACACAGAGGCUCAGGCUACAGCAACACCUUUCCUUGCAUGUGGGAAGUUGAUGUGGGCAAUUUAAGACCAUGACAGGCUGCUUUCUGUAACUUCACGUGGCACAUGGGAUAGAAAAAUUCUAAACCUUGUUCACCUCUGACCCAAAGCAUUCUCACAGCUCAUAGGACUGCAAAAAAAUAUCUAAGGACAUCUCCUAAUUCCUGUCUGGGUUGGCGGGGAAGCAAAGUAGCAACUGGCUGCUGAAAGAGGCAACUGGGUCACCCAUUCUUUACAGAACAGGGGGACACUCCCUUCUUGCUGCCAACCUUUUGCCACAGCUAUCCUACAGAGAUGCUAUCUGCCUGCAUUCUUCUGCACCCAAUACUUCAGCUCACAGGAGGAAGGUUGGCAGCUCUUGGUCUUUUGAAACAGCAGAUAACAAAAUUCUACUUUUCUACCACUAGCCAUAUUAAAUAAACUCAUGAACCUUAGGGGUUUUACUGUUUGAAACAACACAUGUGUCAAAUCAAUAGGCAAAAAAGUCUCCAGUUCCUAACACCAGAUACUUCAGAGAGAAAGAAAAGUACUGGAGAACAAGAGCUAAAGCCUUUAAACUCCACUUCUCUCUCAAAGGCCAGCUGCUCCUCUAAGCUUGACAUGAUGGCAUUCAAUCACUGCUUACUCUCUUUUGGAUUACUUUUGCUAUUUACUCUUAUGUUCUCAAAGAGUAGCUGACUAUAUGAAAAUAGUUCUAAAGGACUUGCAAGAAAAUCUAGAAAUAGCCAUAAUCACGAAAGAAGAAAAAUCAUAGAAUAGCAAAGAAACUUCUGGGAUGGAUACAAAAUCCCAACACUCAGCAAUCAGCAUGCUCUUUAAUAAUUGUUCUGAAAUUUUUCACCCUUCUCCCAGAAACCAGAAGCAUAGCAACAGGAGCUCUUACCAGUGUUUCUGAUCAUGAGCAUAAUUGGAAAGAGAGAAAACACUCAGAAAGAAAUUGCACUGAGGCACUUCCCAAAUUCUGAGAUAUCUCUAGGCUAGUGUAUGUUUUGAGAAAACAUUGAUUAAACUUAUGGUUUGAUAUUCAUAACAAAAUGAAAGUUCAAAUUUUCAGCAACUCCCACAGAGAAAUGAACUUGGUAAUAUAUCUGAAUAUCAAGAAAUAGGUAAUAAUUAUAUAAAAUAACAACUAAUAAAUACAAGGAGUCAUAAGAUCUGGACAACCCCCCCCCUCUCUGUUCCCCCCAGAAAGGAGAUAUUGUUUUCCUUACAAUAUGUUUCAUAUAUACAGAGACGGAUUUAUGAUAUUCUUUCUCAUGAGCCACUCUGAAUCACAGUAUAUGCUGUGCAUUAUUGCCACAUCCAGGAAUGAUGACACAGCAAAAACGAAGCACAAGUGUAUCUUAUAAAAGGAAGAUCCUCAGAUUUUUCUUCUUCAUGUUGUUACUGCUUGCCAGGCUUAAGACCCCACCUAUAUCUACUAAGUUCUUACAAAUGUGUUUAUUCAUAGCAUGAGAAACGCCACUUGAAGGACUGGUUUAAGUUACAUUUAUAAGUAACCAUUCUCCUAAUUAUUAGCAAGCCAAACUUAGAAAUAUUUACAGCACUUGAUUGACUGUUUGAUAUGAAUCUGUACAGAGGAGAUAAGCAUGUAUGCAAAACAGGAAAAAAGCAAUUAAACUUGUUUAUGUACAUUGCAUCUCUUACGUGGAAAAGACGUUACUUUGUGUUUCUAAAAAGGUGUACGUAACACU